GAGCUAAAAUGCAUCAUAUUAUCUCACCAGCGAAUAAUGUGUUUAGUGAAACAGUUGGUUAAACCAAGGUUAUAAAACGAAGCGCGRGUUAUUUUGAUUUAUUUAUUUCUUUUUCUUUGCAGUGCUCAAGUUGACAUGAUGAAGUCAUUCUGUUAUCUCCCGCCUCACUGAAGGUAUCGCCCAGUAGAAUCGUCUGGCUGCAUUUWCCCGGGAUGAGAGGGAAGGUUGAAUGGCACUUUUACAUUGACCCACUGUAAGAGCAUCCUUGGGCCAAGUACAAAGGGGUGCCGUCUGGAGGCAGGCCACAGCUACGAGGCCCAAUGGAGACAUGAAUAAGUGCGAUGAAUACCUAAAUAUCUAGAGAAAACAGCCUGACAAAAGCCAACAUAGUCAGUCCUGGAUUGCCAGCAGAGGAGAUGAAAGGGUUUGGGGAGAUCCCCAUCAAUGUACCACAUGUAGAAAGAUGGAGUGGGAGGAGACAUGCAACUGUCUAUCAUGCCACCGUGGAUGCUUAGGUUGAAGAAUAACCAGAGAAACCAGAGAAAAAUUCAUUACUUGAUGCUUAGUCAUGCUGUAUUUACAAGAUCAGUUCCAUGUGACCACUGAUCCAGAGAAAAAUAAAAACAUGCCAAAAAGGCAACAUGACAGACGUUAGUAUUGCAGCCACCAUGACUUCCUGACUUCCACCUCAUUUCUCUGGGACUAAGCAUGUUGCUUUGAGAUCCGACAGUGCUGGUGCCUAACAUUCAAAAGCAGCUCUGUGAAAAGUCUAAGUAAAUACGCUUGAGGCUGUGAUGCAAAGUCAGUUCGUCUGCUGCAAAACAACAACUAGAGCUCAUCUGAUGAUGCUGAAUGGACAUGAAGAGCCAAACUGGUUUGCAGAAACUGACAAUGUUUUUCAAAGUCAUCCAAGUCCUAAACACAUUUUCUUGCAACUUGUAUUUUUUUCAUUUGAAGGUUUGUGUAGUGUUUCUUGUUGCUGUCGCUACUGAAUUACUGCUAAUCGGGAUUAGAAAUACAAAUGCAGAA